GAGAGAGAGAGAGAGAGACUGAAAACGGUGGAUAGGUUUCACCUGCACUAUAUUAUCAUUCAUCAUGUCUUUUGUCGAGUGACGAAUGGCCUAGCAGCAGCCGCCAAAUAUGUUUCAUUAGUUGGCGGCGGCCUGGCACUGCUUGGCGGCAUCACAGGAGCUACUGAACUGCUUACAUCAUUGAACUAGGGCGUUUGCUAUUAGCGUGGCGCCAUCUAUUGCGUGUGUUUGGCGGCAGUUUGGACAGCUGUUUGUUUACAUGAGACUCUGACGUGCCUGAGACGUGCUGUCACGCUCGGAAUACCAAGUGAACAUUACACCUGAAGGUGAGUGUUGCUGGACGGAAGCCGCGGCACCUCGUCACCCUCGGCCAAGCACCGCCGCUCGUGAGGGAUGGAAGGAUUUUGUUCCUUCGACACUAAUUUGGUGUUUGUGCCCCAGACAUCACGCUCCUUUGUUGGGCGUCAGUGUGUGUGUGUGUGUGUGUGUGUGUGUGUGUGUGUGUGUGUGUGAUUAGACUUUUAUACCCCUAUUGCUUGUACAUCACAUACCCUCGUGACGACCUACUCAUGUGAUUUGUUCUUUCCUUGUGUCCCUUUCGUGUAUCUUUACUACCACAACUGCUACUUUUAAUCUUGCUAUGUCGUUUACUACUACUACUACUACUACUACUACUACUACUACUACUACUACUACUACUACUACUACUACUACUACUACUACUACUACUACUACUACUACUACUACUACUACUACUACUACUACUACUAACUACAGCUACUACUAAUACUACUAAUAAUAACAAAUCAACGGGUCCUGCCAAUGACAACCUUAGUUCAAGUUGAUUAAUACACCAGCAAAUAAGUUCAGAUUCACUAAGUUACUAUCACAAGUCUUGCAUCCAUUCAUAAUACGAGUACACAGCAGAAAUCUUUCAUUUAAGGGCAUAUCUAUCUAUCCGUCUGUGUUCCUACCUAUUUAUCUAUAUAUCUAUCUACUCAUUUAUCUGUUUGUCUGUCUGUAUCUCUAUCUAUCGGUCUAUCUAUCUAUCUAUCUGUCUAUAUGUGUGUGUGUGUGUGUGUGUGUGUUUGUGUGUGUGUGUGUGUGUGUGUCUGGCAGCUGACCGGUACAGGGAAAUACCACUUGAAUAUAGUAAAAGACCAAAUAAAAAAUUGGUAAAUUGGUGAGCGGCGGUGAGCGUGAAGUGAAGUACAGUGUUUGUGGCGGCCGCUCACUGCUCGCCGUGGGGAAUGGAGGGAGGCUUGUUCAGUGGUGAGGCCUGGCCCGCUGUGUUUAGGUUGAUGCGAUUGUGAUGCUUCUUUUAGUACUGUGCUUAUGUAUGCAUGCAUAUCUUGAAUGUAUACGUUAUAUAUAUGUAUGAACGUAUGUAUGUAUGCAUUCAUGCAUGCAUGUAUCAGGCCAGUGGUGUAAUGUUUUGUACGCUCUUCUUACCAUCAAGAGGUCAUUAACUCGAAUCCUCGACCGGUAGGGAGAAUUUGUCGUUGUAAGCUUUCUGGAUGUAGUUGCUGUAUAUGCAACACAGUGAAAAUGUGAAAGGCGUAAAUUGAGUUGUGACCUUGUAACAAUGUAGCCUCACUGACAAGCUUGCCAAGACUCUCCAACCAUCGUGGCGUGUUUUGUAAGCUUAACCACUUUCCCUGAUGAGUGGCGGGGUCCCUUAGUCCUGCAGUGAAUGAAGAAAAAAUGCUCUGUAUGUAUAUGGUGGUGGUGGUGGUGGUGGUGGUGGUGGUGGUGGUGGUGGUGUGUGUGUGUGUGUGUGUGUGUGUGUGUGUGUGUGUGUGUGUGUGUGUGUGUGUGUGUGUGUGUGUGUGUGUGUGUGUGUGUGUGUGUGUGUGUGUGUGAGGGGCAGGUUGGGAUCCUCUUGGUGCACGUUUUUGCCUCAGCAGCACCAGUUUCCUCUCUGCUCACGGUGUGUUCAGUCCCUCCAUCGUCUUGUGUGGCCGGUGAUUAAUCAUGGCAAUUUUUCUUCUGCGGCCUCAUUUACCAUUGGACCGAAAAAAAAAGUACAUAAAUCCGUAUACAUUUUUGAGGAGUGUCGCGCCGGCGCGGCUCACCAGUGUGGUGAGAGGACGCUGGGCCGUGCAGGGCCCUGUGCGAGGUGGGCCGGGAGGCGGGAUGUUCUUUAAGUGGGGUGUGUGGCCUGAGGCGAGGGUGGAGGGGCCUAAGGCAGCAGAAUGUUUCUUGGCAACCUGGUGCUGGUUGAGGAUCGUUGUGCUGCAGCUGUUCAUUGCAAAACAGCGUAAGCUCGUCCUGAGAUGCUUGAUGCCGUGGGUUACAAGGCGGCUGCAGACUGUCAAUGAGCCUCGGUGUAAACUGCCUUAUGCAUAUGUAUGUCGAUUAUCAUGUGGAGGUUUGGGGGGAGAGGCCGGCUGCCGCAGGGACGGGGGAACGGAGGACCGCUGCUGAUGCUAUUAAAGGGCUGUACGCGGGGCUUGGAUGUGUGUUUACAGUGUGUGUGUGUGUGUGUGUGUGUGUGUGUGUGUGUAAGUGUGUGUGAGGUCAGGUUCUUUGUUCAGGGCAGUUGGCUGCUUAAAGCUUAACAGUUUUAAAGUCCCCAUGGGAGCUAAUAAUCUUGCUACAGCUUGUACUGAUCUCAUAUAUUGCACACAAUGGUGCUCACGCGGUGUACUUUGGCUGUUCAUAUGCUAGUGGCUUUAUAAUCACAGUUAAUAUAAUCAAGUAAACUUAAAUGAUCACUUUUGUGUUUAGUGUUUUACCUCGAUCUUAAAUGCUUUAUUGUGGUGAAACUGUUAGUUAUCAGGCUUUGUGAGGAGAUUGUCAUUGGAUCAGAGGACUUAAUACCGAGGCGAAACGCGAAACACAGUAGAAGUAACUGUGGCAUUGUCAUCAACUGGCUAUGAUUGUUCCAAUGAUGGACUCAUCAGAUUUCCGUAUAGCGGACCAUACGUACAUAUGUGUGGGCACACAGACAUGUCCCAACAACAGAAUUUUAUUCAUAAAGCAACUAUACCUAAGAAAACUCUGACUGUACUUUAGUUUUCUUGAAUAACGGACACGGCAGCCAAAGGACAAAGUAUUUACUAAACAAUAUACAAUGGAAUUAAUACUCAUGGAAAAUUCGAGACCCAAGACAUUAGUGAUACAUUUUUCGGUCUUGUUCGAACCCCGAACCUUCUCCCUUAUGUGUAUCCUAAAAGGAGUAAUAGAUGGAAUAAAUCAACAUCUCAGUAAUCCAAUUUGAGUACGGAGGGUAGGAGUAGAUUGGGUGAAUAAUACCAAGA